rnacentral:rRNA from 1 species
GACGAACGCUGGCGGCGGGCUUAACACAUGCAAGUCGAACGGAAAGGCCCUGCUUUUGUGGGGUGCUCGAGUGGCGAACGGGUGAGUAACACGUGAGUAACCUGCCCUGGACGUUGGGAUAACUGCAGGAAACUGGGGCUAAUACCGGAUAGGAGCUCCUGCUGCAGGGUGGGGGUUGGAAAGUUUCGGCGGUUGGGGAUGGACUCGCGGGUUAUCAGCUUGUGGGUGGGGUAGUGGCUUACCAAGGCUUUGACGGGUAGCCGGCCUGAGAGGGUGACCGGCCACAUGGGGACUGAGAUACGGCCCAGAGUCCUACGGGAGGCAGCAGUGGGGAAUAUUGCACAAUGGGCGGAAGCCUGAUGCAGCAACGCCGCGUGCGGGAUGACGGCCUUCGUGUGGUAAACCGCUUUCGCCUGUGACGAAGCGUGAGUGACGGUAAUGGGUAAAGAAGCACCGGCUAACUACGUG